AUACAGAGGGUGCGAGCGUUAAUCGGAAUUACUGGGCGUAAAGCGCGCGUAGGCGGCUACUUAAGUCAGAUGUGAAAUCCCCGGGCUCAACCUGGGAACUGCAUUUGAUACUGGGUAGCUAGAGUUUUGGAGAGGGAAGUAGAAUUUCAGGUGUAGCGGUGAAAUGCAUAGAGAUCUGAAGGAAUACCAGUGGCGAAGGCGACUUCCUGGCCAAAAACUGACGCUGAGGUGCGAAAGCGUGGGUAGCAAACGGGAUUAGAAACCCUAGUAGUCC
rnacentral:rRNA from 1 species